rnacentral:piRNA from 1 species
UUGGAUAAAAGGUCUUAAGGGAAGCC